rnacentral:hammerhead_ribozyme from 1 species
ACCCAGCUGAUGAGUUCCAAAUAGGACUAAACACGUGUCCUGGAU